rnacentral:lncRNA from 1 species
GCUCUGAGCUUUUUGAAGGCAGACAAGCUUUCAUCUUUUUCUGUUUCCCCAACACUUAGCUCAGUGCCUGUCUCCUAGUAUCCUUCCAAGCUUUACAUCAUGUCAUGGUGUUAUAGUCAAUGAAGACCAAGAGUUAAUGUGAAUACAUGAAACCAAACGAAGAGUUAACAUGACUCCAUGAAACUAAGCAACAAUCAGGAACCUACUAUUAUCCUUGUCAAACUUCUUGCACAUAAUUUGAAUGAGGAACAACUGUAACCAUUUGUAUUUCUUAUAUUACAAGAGAAUUGGGCCACCUGGGAAUGAAACAAGUCAUUUUUCUUCCUUGAGAAGUCCAGAACACUGCAAGAUCUAAUCAACCACAGAGAGGUGCUUCUGGCAACAGUUUGCUGAGCGUUUCAGCAUCUUGGUAUGGUGGCAGCUAUUGUCCAGUUUUUGGCGGUAACCUCCCUGAUGCCCCAGAUGCUUGCUGCAGCCUCCUUACAGUCUGCUUUCAGCCUGUCUAUUCAUGCUUGCUCUACCAUGUUCUCCAGAGGAUAUAAAAGACACCAAAAUUCUGUCACUCUUUGGAGAAUCAUCUUGCGUGAUGCAUUCUCCCAGGGAUACGGUUCCCAGAGUUCCAGAGCCCUUGGCAUUCUGUGAUGUUUAAGUGCUUGAGUCUGUGUGGUGGCCAAAUAUUAAACACUAUCUCUUUCCUGAUUAAAGACUUGAUUUUUGCUGACUACUUUAGUAGUUCUGUGUUUUCCAAGUUAACACUACUAAGUAGAUGUUACAACAAGCUAGAUACCUCCUGUCUCUGGAUCUGAGGAAACUAGCUGCCUUUUGUUAGUUGGUUAUGCUGGCUAUGAUUAGAGCUAUCAAUCUGUCUUUAUUAGCAUCACUGUAACCCUAGCAAAAUUCUGCUGAGGCAGAGUAGCU